GCCGGGUGUGGUGGUGCACAUCUGUAAUCCCAGCUACUCGGGAGGCUGAGGUGAGAGGAUUGCUUGAGCCUGGGAGGUUGAGGUUACAGUGAGCCAUGAUCAUGCCACUGCAUUCCAGCCUAGGCAACUGAGCAAGACCCUGUCUCCA
ensembl:misc_RNA Metazoa_SRP Metazoan signal recognition particle RNA